rnacentral:misc_RNA from 1 species
UUUCCGUAGGUGAACCUGUGGAAGGAUCAUUGUCGUGACCCUGACCAAAACUGACCACGCAUGCGUCACCCAUCCCGCCGGCGGUGGCACCGCUCGCCGUCCGGCCAAGUCCCCGACCACCUCCCCUCCUCGGAGGAGGGCCGGGGCGACAGAACCCACGGCGCCGAAGGCGUCAAGGAACACUAUGCCUAACUCGGGGGCGCGGCUGGCCUACCGGCUGCCCACACACGACUCUUGGCAACAGAUAUCUCGGCUCUC